rnacentral:lncRNA from 1 species
UCUCUGUGAUUCCUAUAUUUCACUUGAUAAACAAGAAAUUUUAUGGUACUGACCGUUUUUAGAGUAAGUGGCAAAGGGCUUGGUGGUUGGUACCCGAGACUUAAGUUCAAAUUCUAGUUGAUUCAUAUUUCCAACUAAGUUUAUUUCUAAAUAAAAUAAACGAAGCGGGUAGCGUGCUACCUAUCUCUCAAAGAAAAAACAAAAAAAUUUUAUGGUCUUAUUGU